GGGCAGUUGGCCGAGUGGUUAAAGGCGACAGACUGUAAAUCUGUUCACUUACGUGUACGGAGGUUCGAAUCCUUCACUGCCCACCU
rnacentral:tRNA from 1 species